rnacentral:rRNA from 1 species
AUGGCUAGAUAUUGGUGGAGUAGCUCAAUCGAUCGUAGAUCGCUCCAUUGGAUUGAUUGGCCUUCAUUUGCUGAACCCAAGGUUGCUGGAGGGAUGGGUUUUCAUAAUCUAGAACUGUUCAACUUAGCCUUGCUCGGAAAGCAUGGGUGGAAUCUGAUUACGAACCCGGACUCUCUCUGUGCUCGUGUACUUAAGGGAAAAUACUUCCCGCAAAGUGACUUCAUGGCCGCAAAUGUCCCAAAGUGUGCCUCGGCCACAUGGCGUGCAAUAUGUGCGGGCAAACAAGCAUUGGGAGACGGCCUAGUGAAACAAAUUGGAGAUGGCACCUCGGUGUCCAUUUGGAUGAUAGCUGGGUGCCAAGCCUACUCUCCUUACGGCCAACUACUCACGUUGGUAACACAAACAUUUCUGCUGUGUCUGAGUUGA